rnacentral:misc_RNA from 1 species
GUGAAUCAUCAAAUCUUUGAACGCAAAUUGCACUCUCUUCGGAGAGUAUGCCUGUUUGAGGGUCGGUAUUAAUAAAAAUCGGUGUGUUGCUUCUUUGUGACGCUCCGGAGUUUGUGUUAUCUUAAUAUCCUUUAGGUUUUAAGAGGCGUAAAAUUGACUUUUUUUUCGUAUUUUAGAGGUACAUAAAUUCUUUUUUUUUUUCGUCUGUCUGAAUGCUUAUUAACCUAUUAUAUGC